rnacentral:rRNA from 1 species
AUGCAAGUCGAACGAAGCAGCAAUGCUUAGUGGCGCAAGGGUGAGGAACACGUGAGUACCCUACCCGCAAGUUUGGAACAGCUCCUGGAAACGGGAAUUAAUACCGGAUGUGAUCAUAUUACUGCAUGGUGAUAUGAUUAAAGCAGCGAUGCGCUUGCGGAUGGGCUCGCGUCCCAUUAGCUAGUUGGUGAGGUAACGGCCCACCAAGGCCAUGAUGGGUAGCUGGUCUGAGAGGACGACCAGCCACACUGGGACUGAGAACUGCCCAGACUCCUACGGGAGGCUGCAGUCGAGAAUUUUGGGCAAUGGACGAAAGUCUGACCCAGCAAUGCCGCGUGCGGGAUGAAGGUCUUCGGAUUGUAAACCGCUGUUUGGAGGGACGAAAAUUGACGGUACUUCCAGAGGAAGCCACGGCUAACUACGUGCCAGCAGCCGCGGUAAUACGUAGGUGGCGAGCGUUGUUCGGAUUUAUUGGGCGUAAAGGGUCCGCAGGGGUUGAUUAAGUUUGACGUGAAAUCCCGGAGCUUAACUCCGGAACUGCGUUGAAGACUGGUUGACUAGAGUGCUGGAGAGGUAAUUGGAAUUCCAGGUGUAGCGGUGGAAUGCGUAGAUAUCUGGAAGAAUAUCGAUAGCGAAGGCAGAUUACUGGACAGCAACUGACCCUCAGGGACGAAAGCAUGGGGAGCAAACAGGAUUAGAUACCCUGGUAGUCCAUGCCCUAAACGGUGUAAACUUGAUGUGAGCGGAAUUACUCCCGUUCGUGUCGAAGCUAACGCGAUAAGUUUACCGCCUGGGAACUACGGCCGCAAGGCUAAAACUCAAAGGAAUUGACGGGGGCCCGCACAAGCGGUGGAGCAUGUGGCUUAAUUCGAGGCAACGCGAAGAACCUUACCUGGGUUUGACAUCUUAGUGACAGAUGUAGAAAUACAUUUUCCCGCAAGGGCGCUUUGACAGGUGCUGCAUGGCUGUCGUCAGCUCGUGCCAUGAGGUGUCCGGUUAAGUCCGACAACGAGCGCAACCCGCGUUAUUAGUUACCAUCAGGUAAAGCUGGGGACUCUAAUAAGACUGCCUGUGUUAAGCAGGAGGAAGGAGCGGAUGACGUCAAGUCCGUAUGGCCCUUACAUCCAGGGCUGCACACGUGCUACAAUGGUCGGUACAGAAGGAAGCAAAGCCGCGAGGCAGAGCAGAUCCCGAAAGCCGAUCUUAGUUCAGAUUGCAGUCUGCAACUCGACUGCAUGAAGCCGGAAUCGCUAGUAAAGGCGUAUCAGCUACGACGCCUUGAAUACGUUCCCGGGCCUUGUACACACCGCCCGUCACAUCAUGGGAGCUGAUUGCACCCGAAGUCGCUGACUCAACCUGCAAAGGAGAGAGGCGCCUAAGGAGCGGUUGGUGACUGGGAUGAAGU